rnacentral:rRNA from 1 species
AUCCAAAAGACUCUCGGCAACGGAUAUCUCGGCUCUUGCAUCGAUGAAGAAACG